UCGUGUAUAAGAAGGGUCCUGUUGUGCCUUAGUUAUCUGUGAGACAGCGCAGCUUACUGCAGUAUUUAUGGAUAUGGCCAACUCAGUAAAGUUCACAAACUCUACAAUGUGGAUGCUGAAACCCACAGAGGACUGCAGCCCGGGAUUUUGCAGAUUCAUCCUGCCUGAGUUUUUCCUCACUCUCAUGGAAGCUGAUGGAAGAGACAAAGGUACCAGGCUGGCCAUUCAUCAUCCCUGCUACUGCUGCAUAAGCGAAUGUGGUGAGGACAUCCCCCUGCUCCAGCAGGAGUGCUGGGAGCAGGGCUGGGCCACCCUGAGCAGAUGGGAAGUACUGUCCUUGUAAGCCACCAUUUUUUAAAAUAAAUUCACCUCUUUCUUUUGUCAUGUCUUCAGUGCCUCUGUACAUGAUAGCUGCCUUUGGUGAAGCCUGAAAUGUCUCUUUAAAAGGUGUGGGAUCUAUCAGCAGCAUGUCAGUUUAAUAGGGUUAAAAAUAAAAGGACUAAAAAUGGGAUUUUUUGAACAGCAGUGGCAGCAUGUACAACUCAUAAUCAGGUUCUUGCCAGUGCUGCCCAUGCUCACAUUGCUCUUUCAUUGGCAGUGACCGUGCAGCAAGCAGCGUGCCCACGUUGACUAUUAGCUGGUUCUCUGAGGCAAUGUAUCAUCAAUGGCAUCAGAGACUUUUCCAAAAUUGGUUCAGACUAUUAAAGGAAGGGCAGAGACAGGGAGAAGAAUGGAGAAGUGACAAGCCAGUGACAUGUUCAUUCAGCAACUCUUUUUCUACAAAUUGUCUGUACAAAAAAGAAAAAGAAAAAAAAAAUAUCUGUGUAAGUGAACUUAAAAGGGACUACAGAGAAAAGGAAAAAAAAAAAAGGAAAAAAAAGCCAUGUUCAUGCUGAGACCAUUAAUAAUGAAUCACCCAUGGAGAUGAACAUCCAGCAAUUAACUUUCAGGGGAAUUAAUACCACCUGUUGUUACCGGCUAUCUCCAGUCCCAGCCGUAACAGAGGUGUGCUCAGCUGAUAACCCAGCCCCAAGGAGUCUGCAAUCCAAGCAGGAAAAUCAGGUGGGGAUGGAGAUGUCCAUGUCACCAUUUGCUUGGUCUGUGUGCUCACCAGCUCCAAGCUGGCAAGAUGCUCUGCUCCCCCCAUGCCUCCGU
rnacentral:lncRNA from 1 species